GGAUCAUUAAAGAGUUUAAUAAAACUCCUAAACCCCUGUGAACUUACUGGUGUUUGGCUCGCCAGAUAUAGUCUGGUCCGUAAGCAAAUCGACUGCCUGCCUGUGUAACAGGCAGGUAAGCUUUUGUCGCGGGGUCCCGGAUCAACCCGGGCUAGAUAGCCACUUAACUAUAUACUUUUUAUAAAAUCUGUGAACUUACUAGGUUGGAUUCUCGCCAGAGAUAGUCUGGUUUCUGCUUCGCGGAUCGCCUACCCGUGACACCUGUCACAGGUAGGUAAGCUUUUGCCGCGGGUCCGCAUGUAAAUCGUCUGUUUCACAAGGGACGGCGAUUUACCUGUGGAAGAGGUCCGCUAACUAUAUUCUUAGUAUAGUUUGUUCACUAGAUCAAACAUUCUGAAUAAAAACUUAAACUAGUUAAAACUUUCAACAACGGAUCUCUUGGUUCUGGCAUCGAUGAAGAACGCAGCGAAAUGCGAUAAGUAAUGUGAAUUGCAGAAUUCAGUGAAUCAUCGAAUCUUUGAACGCACAUUGCGCCCAUUAGUAUUCUAGUGGGCAUGCCUGUUCGAGCGUCAUUUCAACCCUUAAGCCCCUGUUGCUUAGCGUUGGGAGCCUACACUGUAGCCUGCUGUAGCUCCUUAAAGGUAGUGGCGGAGUCGGUUCACACUCUAGACGUAGUAAAAUCUUUAUCUCGCCUAUGGAUGAGCCGGCGCCUUGCCGUAAAACCCCUAAUCUUUCACAAGGUUGACCUCGGAUCAGGUAGGAAUACCCGCUGAACUUAAGCAUAUCAAUAAGCGGAGGAAAAGAAACCAACAGGGAUUGCCCUAGUAACGGCGAGUGAAGCGGCAACAGCUCAAAUUUGAAAUCUGGCCUUCGGGUCCGAGUUGUAAUUUGCAGAGGAUGCUUUGGGCGCGGUGCCUUCCGAGUUCCCUGGAACGGGACGCCUUAGAGGGUGAGAGCCCCGUACGGUUGGACACCAAGCCUCUGUAAAGCUCCUUCGACGAGUCGAGUAGUUUGGGAAUGCUGCUCUAAAUGGGAGGUAAAUUUCUUCUAAAGCUAAAUAUUGGCCAGAGACCGAUAGCGCACAAGUAGAGUGAUCGAAAGAUGAAAAGCACUUUGAAAAGAGGGUUAAAUAGCACGUGAAAUUGUUGAAAGGGAAGCGUUUACGACCAGACCUUUUCGCAGCGGAUCAUCCGGUGUUCUCACCGGUGCACUUCGCUGGGUUGAGGCCAGCAUCGGUUUCCGCAGGGGGAUAAAAGCCUGGGGAACGUAGCUCCCUCGGGAGUGUUAUAGCCCCUCGCAUAAUACCCUUGCGGGGACCGAGGACCGCGCU
rnacentral:rRNA from 1 species